CUUCCUCUUCCUCUUCCUCUUCCUCUUCCUCUUCUAGAAAGUAAUAGUUUCUAGAAGCACUUAACCUAGGGACUGCAAGCUCAUUUCUGCUUUCACUGUUUGAACAUUUCCUGGUCUUAGAUUUUGACUGAUAUCACACCUGAUAUAAGUUCUUAUGUGGA
ensembl:miRNA Gm24818 predicted gene, 24818